rnacentral:rRNA from 1 species
GAGCGGCGAACGGGUGAGUAACACGUGGGUGAUCUGCCUCGUACUUCGGGAUAAGCCUGGGAAACUGGGUCUAAUACCGGAUAUGACCAUAGACUGCAUGGUUUGUGGUGGAAAGAUUUAUCGGUGCGAGAUGGGCCCGCGGCCUAUCAGCUUGUUGGUGGGGUAAUGGCCUACCAAGGCGACGACGGGUAGCCGACCUGAGAGGGUGACCGGCCACACUGGGACUGAGACACGGCCCAGACUCCUACGGGAGGCAGCAGUGGGGAAUAUUGCACAAUGGGCGGAAGCCUGAUGCAGCGACGCCGCGUGAGGGAUGACGGCCUUCGGGUUGUAAACCUCUUUCGACAGGGACGAAGCGCGAGUGACGGUACCUGUAGAAGAAGCACCGGCCAACUACGUGCCAGCAGCCGCGGUAAUACGUAGGGUGCNGAGCGUUGUCCGGAAUUACUGGGCGUAAAGAGCUUGUAGGCGGUUUNGNCGCGUCUUCUGUGAAAACUCACAGCUCAACUGUGAGCUUGCAGGGNAUACGGGCAGACUAGAGUACUUCAGGGGAGACUGGAAUUCCU